UACGUAGGGGGCGAGCGUUGUCCGGAGUUACUGGGCGUAAAGCGCACGCAGGCGGUCUGCUAAGUUUGGAGUGACAGUUGGUGGCUCAACCACCAAAGUGCUUUGAAAACUGGCAGACUUGAGGGCUUCAGAGGGACACGGAAUUCCGGGUGGAGUGGUGAAAUGCGUAGAGAUCCGGAGGAACACCAAAGGCGAAGGCAGUGUCCUGGGGAGUACCUGACGCUCAGGUGCGAAAGCCAGGGGAGCAAACGGG
rnacentral:rRNA from 1 species